GUAGGUGGCAAGCGUUGCCGGGAAUUAUUGGGGCGUAAAGCGCGCGCAGGCGGUUCUUUAAGUCUGAUGUGAAAGCCCGCGGGCUCAACCGUGGAGGGUCAUUGGAAACUGGAGAACUUGAGUACAGAAGAGGAAAGCGGAAUUCCACGUGUAGCGGUGAAAUGCGUAGAGAUGUGGAGGAACACCAGUGGCGAAGGCGGCUUUCUGGUCUGUAACUGACGCUGAGGCGCGAAAGCGUGGGGAGCAAACAGGAUUAGAUACCCUGGUAGUCCACGCCGUAAACGAUGAGUGCUAAGUGUUAGGGGGUUUCCGCCCCUUAGUGCUGCAGCUAACGCAUUAAGCACUCCGCCUGGGGAGUACGGCCGCAAAGGCUGA
rnacentral:rRNA from 1 species